CCCCCCCCCCCCCCCCCCCAACGCAUGGCUCCACCUCAUGGAUGUUCCUUCUGCGCCCGAUGGCCAUGAGAUGCACGUGGAGCGUCGGGCCGUGCCUCCUCUGCACCAGAGAGUUCACCCUCGUCCUCGUCCUCUCUACUCCGCUCGAGCUCUAACCCUCACCUCUAUUUCGGUCUCUCUUAGAUUUGGUGCAGUGGCCGCCUCUCUCUCUUGAUUCAAUCCCCUCAAAAAUCUCAUAUUUGGUUUUGUGCCUACAAGAUUUACUUCAGGAGCUGAAGUAAGAAAAAAUGAAGGUUGUUGCGCGGAGCAUGGCAUCGGUGGAGGAGAGGAUCACUGUCGUGCGCCUGGUUGCGGGAACAGGCUGAGGUCCUCAUUCAACCUUAAUUUGAAGCCCUUAGGUAGGCUAGAAGGCGGGUAACCGGCGCCACGAGCAUGAUCCCCUCUUUGCUGGCGGGCUCAGCGACGGUUUCAUCGACGUAUGGAACCCACCGCAGGUAACGGCCGCCAUGAGCAUGAUCCCCUCCUUACGGGUGGUCUCAGCGACGGCUUCGUCUCCGUAUGGAACCCACCGCCGCUGCCAUGGCCGCCACCGUGUCCGAGAGGAAUAGCACACAAACUCACAUCAGGACUUCCUCAGCUUGUUUACUCUCUUUUUUCCUCCGGUUUCAUGCUUUGCACACCAUGUUUGGUGUCACUUGGAUUUUGGUUGAGCUGCGGGGCUGAACCGCGGACCUCAUCCAGAUUAUUUCAGCUUGGAUUUUGUCUUCCUUUCUACCUCCCAUUUCACUUUUAGCUAGUUCUUCUUGCUUCUACUGCUCUUUUGCAGUUUUGGCUGGUUGCUAGGUGUUUGUUCCUUGGAAUCUAGCUAUCUCAUUUUUCUUCCUCUUUCUCCUUUCGUUUUUCUUUUCUUGGUUAGACUGAAUUGCUUAUGAACUGUUUUGCAGAUACUGAUUUUGGUGUCAGCUCAAGGUAAAAGGUAAAGUCUGAAGGUAAGAAAUCAUCACUAGCUAGGUAGCCGUACAUGGUCUGGUUUCUUAGCAUAAUUUGGAAGUACCAAAUUCACUACUCAAUAUUAGUACUCAUUUAAAAAAUAUGCACUGUCUUGUUUGUCAGCUCCAUUUUAUUAAUCUAGAAGAAACCUAGAGCAGACGCUCACACUUUAGAUAGCACUUGUACUUAAUACAAUAGUUAAAUAUGACUUCAAUAUCUGAAUUAUCCAAUGGAAUUUAUAUUGCGUUGACGCCAGAUAUCUGAAUACCCUCAAUAUGGUUACUUGUGAUUCUUACAGAAGUAAGAAAGAAAGCUUAACGUUUAUCUAGAAUGAAAUAUAGAAUCAAGAGCUAUGAAGUAAAAUUUGAAAAUCAUAAAUCAUAACUCAAUGGUGGAUAGAAUCAGAGUUAAUUAAAAUAAUAGGUGCUAUAGUAUUGGAAGUUUUGUUAGUGCCCAUGCAUCUGCAUACAGAGUUGUGAUAUUUUCCAAUUGAAAGGUAGCAAUGUCUGAAGCUAAGUGGUUGCCAUACAGUUAACUUUGGUGUUUGUCUAAUGGUUAUUUAACUUAAAUGACCUGGUAAUUGAUGCACAUCGCUAUUCACCCUUUAUCCUGAAGAAUUGUUGCAUGCUUGUGUUAUGUGCUUACACUUAAGGUUAAUGUACCAGGUGUUCUUUUAGGUUAUUGUCAACGGAAGCAGCUGAUAAAUAUGAAUUCAGAGGAAGCAGCUUAUAAAUAGGGACACUGCGGUUACUAUUUCCCUAGGACACAGCUGCGGCUAAGAAAAGGACAUGUUGAAGCAGCACCAUCGAUUAUCGUGCUCCUCUGCAUUGAGAAGAAGUCACUCCCGAGUCGUCUAUGUACCACCUCCAAGUAUACCAGAUGUUUCUACUGUUCUCCUUGCCCCUUCAUCCAUGGUCUUUGUACAACAUCAUUAGUUUUAAUUAUUGAGGCACAAGAAUAACCUGUAUGUCAUGUAUGCUUCUUUGAUAACAGGUUAUUAAAUGCGGAUAGAAUAACUUGUGCACUUCUUGCUGCAUGUAUCCUCGUCUCUGUUCUUGGGAGAUAUGAUGAAGAGUGUCUUCCUCUCAUUGCUUUGCAGGGCAUGCCAAGAACUGGUAGCCAAUGAUCUCCAUGGAACUGAGUGACAUUUCUUGGUGAUUUUACAAUUUGAGCAUUCAGUUUGAAGCUGCUUUAAAUUUUCAGUCGUUGCGUUCUCAUAGUUUUGGUGUAGCACUUCAUGUCACAAUUGAAUACAAUUAUUACUUCAUGAGUAUGUGUGGCCUC